rnacentral:rRNA from 1 species
CUACGUGCCAGCAGCCGCGGUAAUACGGAAGGUCCGGGCGUUAUCCGGAUUUAUUGGGUUUAAAGGGAGUGUAGGCGGUCUGUUAAGCGUGUUGUGAAAUUUAGGUGCUCAACAUUUAACUUGCAGCGCGAACUGUCAGACUUGAGUACACGCAGCGCAGGCGGAAUUCAUGGUGUAGCGGUGAAAUGCUUAGAUAUCAUGAGGAACUCCGAUCGCGAAGGCAGCCUGCGGGAGUGUUACUGACGCUUAAGCUCGAAGGUGCGGGUAUCGAACAGGAUUAGAUACCCUGGUAGUCCGCACGGUAAACGAUGGAUGCCCGCCGUUGGCGCCCUGCGCCUGCGGCCAAGCGAAAGCAUUAAGCAUCCCACCUGGGGAGUACGCCGGCAACGGUGAAACUCAAAGGAAUUGACGGGGGCCCGCACAAGCGGAGGAACAUGUGGUUUAAUUCGAUGAUACGCGAGGAACCUUACCCGGGCUUGAAUUGCAGUCGCUGCCCACAGAGACGUGGGCUUCC